UACGUAGGGUCCGAGCGUUGUCCGGAUUUAUUGGGCGUAAAGAGCUCGUAGGCGGUUCCGUAAGUCAGAUGUGAAAACUCAGGGCUCAACCCGGAGACGCCAUCUGAUACUGCGGUGACUGGAGUCUGGUAGGGGAACACGGAAUUCCUGGUGUAGCGGUGAAAUGCGCAGAUAUCAGGAGGAACACCAAUGGCGAAAGCAGUCUGCUGGGCUUAUCCUGACACUGAGACACGAAAGCGUGGGGAGCGAACGGG
rnacentral:rRNA from 1 species